ensembl:lncRNA
CGGCAGGGUAGCCUAGUGGUUAGAGUGUAGAGGCGGCAGGGUAGCCUAGUGGUUAGAGUGUAGAGGCGGCAGGGUAGUCUAGUGGUUAGAGUGUAGAGGCGGCAGGGUAGUCUAGUGGUUAGAGUGUAGAGGGGGCAGGGUAGCCUAGUGGUUAGAGUGUAGAGGCGGCAGGGUAGCCUAGUGGUUAGAGUGUAGAGGCGGCAGGUAGCCUAGUGGUUAGAGUGUAGAGGCGGCAGGGUAGCCUAGUGGUUAGAGUGUAGAGGCGGCAGGUUAGCCUAGUGGUUAGAGUGUAGAGGCAGCAGGGUAGUCUAGUGGUUAGAGUGUAGAGGGGGCAGGGUAGCCUAGUGGUUAGAGUGUAGAGGGGGCAGGGUAGCCUAGUGGUUAGAGUGUAGAGGCGGCAGGUAGCCUAGUGGUUAGAGUGUAGAGGCGGCAGGGUAGCCUAGUGGUUAGAGUGUAGAGGCGGCAGGGUAGCCUAGUGGUUAAAGUGUAGAGGCGGC